UACGUAGGGGGCAAGCGUUGUCCGGAAUCAUUGGGCGUAAAGGGUGCGUAGGUGGUGCCGUAAGUCAGGUGUGAAAUCUCGGGGCUCAACCCCGAAACUGCACUUGAUACUGCGGUGCUUGAGGACUGGAGAGGAGAUCGGAAUUCAUGGUGUAGCAGUGAAAUGCGUAGAUAUCAUGAGGAAGACCAGUGGCGAAGGCGGAUCUCUGGACAGUUCCUGACACUGAGGCACGAAGGCCAGGGGAGCAAACGGG
rnacentral:rRNA from 1 species